CCUGUUCUCUCCCGCAGGCCUUUGGCAGCAAGGGUGGCAAUUCCUGGAAGAAAUGAGCCCCCUCGUUACGAUGGAGCAGAGCCGAGUCCUGCCCGGCGGAGGUGGUUGGCAUUUCGGGAUCACCCGUUCCUGGUCACGGGAGCUGCGCUGUGUGAGCCCCGUGCCCUCUUAGGGAACGCCGGGCAUGGGCUGAAUCCCUGGCUGGGGUUGUGCACGCCAUAAAUCCACCCGGCGAUGACAGGGACACUCCAAACCCUCCGAGUUGUUUUUGCCUCCGUGGCUCAGGCUCCGGGCGAUCCCAGGCUGUGGCUCCGCCGCUCCCGUCCCAUGAGAGGGCAGCACGAGCCCGCCGGUGUCACGGAUGCGGGUUUAUAGGUGCUGAAAUUGGGCAGCAUCGAUUCUGAAACUCCUUCCGAAGCGAUGUGUGUGUGUGUCUGCUUAAACCUUGCCCCGGAGCAUCCCCAUUCCAGUGACUAAUGUGUGAAAGCAACCAGGAGUGGGUUUCCCUGAGGAUAAAAAGUGUGGUGAACAUCGAUCCUGCCUGCAUUCCUGCAGGAGACUGUGGAAAGCCUUCAUCCUCAUGCUGAGCAGGAUCUGCAGCUCCCAUCAUGCUGCAGCACGACCAGGACUGAUUGCUCUGGAACAUCACCUCUUGGCUGAGUAAUACUGAAGUUGCUUUUCCUGGGAUAAUCCAUAGAGAUGGAUGUUGGGCAAGGAAAAUGCAGAAGGAAGCCAGGAUCAUGUGAGUGUGUUGGACCAGGAGAAAGUACGAGGUUUAUAUUCAGUGUUUAUCUGAAGUGAUUGCUGUUUAUGCACCUAACCUUGUGACAGAGCAAAAACACUGCCAGAAGAAUGUUAUUACCUGAGAAGCUGUUUAUUCCCCUUUAAAAAUUCCUGAACUGGCAAAGGGGCCCUAAAAAGGAAGACGUGGGGAUUCCUCUGUCCUGUGUGUGGGUGUCAGCAGCCAAAACAUCUCUGUCCCCUGUUCCCUCUGCUGGGACAGCAGGGAAUUUCUGGGUCCAGGAACCUGCUCCUGAAAACUGCUGAGUGAACUCCAGGUAGUGUUUACUGGAAUCCACUGGAGGGGUGAUCCCUGAGCCCAUUUUUUAAGCUUGUCACUGGGAGCUUUAGCCUGUGGAAGGGCCCAAUCCUGGGAGCUUUGGAGCUCUUUAAUCCUCAGUAACUUUGAUUGGAGUUAAGGGUCACCUCAGAACCUCCUGGGAGGAGGCCCUGAGCGGCCUCAGCUUUUAAAGUUAAUGGUUUUGAGCAUGAGAACCUGGCCUGGGAGUUUUUAAUUUGAAUUUGCUGGUUUUAGCUUCAGCUUGAAACCGUCUCAAAUAGUUUUUGUGCCCUCAGUACU